AUUGGGGCAAGCAUUACCACCUUCCAUGAAGGCAUGACCAUAUUAGCAUUUGAAAAAUAUGUUAAGAUGCUUUUUAGAUUGCAACUACAUUUUUAUUAUUUCUUUAUAUGCCUCAUGUAGAAUGGUAAUGCAUCUUACUGGUCUAUUAAAAUUUAGGUUUAGUUUAUGAAAUAUUGGGGUUAACAUUGGUUAAGGUUUAAAUUUUGAUAUUUGGGUUUAGGGUUCAUAUUUGAGUUAAGAUGAUUGAUUAGAGUUUAAGGUUUAGGAUUUAGGGGUUGAGGUGUGAUUAGGAUUGGGUUAGUAUUUAGGGGUUUAGGAUUUAUAUUUGGGUAAUGGUUUAGUGAUUAGAGUUUAAGGUUUAGUAUUUAGAAGGUGAAGGAGUAUGGUUGAGGUCAAUAAUAACUUCUUCCAUGUAAUUAUAGAUAUUUUAUAAUUUCACAAAUAUGUACUAUGUUAUUUUUUUGUUCAAUUCUAUUUGGAUUUUGUGCUUAUAUUUGGGGUAAUGGUUUAUAUUUGGGUUUAUGGUUUAGAUUUGGGUUUAGGGUAUAAUGAUUAGAGUUUAGAGUUUAAUAUAUAGGUUGGGUGAGAUUGGAAUAAGUUUUAAUAUCUAAGGAUUUGAUUUGGGAUAUGUUUAUAUUUAAGGGUUGUAGAUAAAGUUAUAAUUAUAUACUAUUU
rnacentral:lncRNA from 1 species